AACGAACGCUGGCGGCAUGCCUAACACAUGCAAGUCGAACGAGACCUUCGGGUCUAGGUGCGCACGGGUGCGUAACGCGUGGGAACCUGCCCUUAGGUUCGGAAUAACUCCCCGAAAGGGGUGCUAAUACCGGAGAAUGUCUUAGGACCAAGGAUUUAUCGCAUCUGGAUGGGCCCGCGUUGGUUUAGCUAGUUGGGAGGGUAAAAGCGUACCAAGGCGGCGAUCCGUGGCUGGUGUGAGAGGAUGCACAGCCACACUGGGACUGGGACACGGCCCAGACGCGUACGGGAGGCGGCAGAGGGUAAUAUAGGACAGUGGGCCAGAGCCUGCUACGGCACGGCCGGGUGAGUGAUGAAGGCCUUAGGGUUGUCAAGCUCUUUUAACCGAGAUGAUAAUGCCGGAACCGGGAGAGUAGGACCGGGCUACCUCCGU
rnacentral:rRNA from 1 species